UGGGGAAUCUUGCGCAAUGGGCGAAAGCCUGACGCAGCAACGCCGCGUGUGUGAUGAAGGUCUUCGGAUCGUAAAGCACUGUCGCGAGGGACGAAUAAGGGGCGGGCUAACAUCCCGUUCCGAUGACGGUACCUCGAAAGGAAGCACCGGCUAACUCUGUGCCAGCAGCCGCGGUAAUACAGAGGGUGCAAGCGUUGUUCGGAAUUAUUGGGCGUAAAGCGCGUGUAGGCGGCCUAGCAUGUCGGGUGUGAAAGCCCUCGGCUUAACCGAGGAAGUGCGCCCGAAACUACUAGGCUUGAGUACCGGAGAGGGUGGCGGAAUUCCCGGUGUAGAGGUGAAAUUCGUAGAUAUCGGGAGGAACACCAGCGGCGAAGGCGGCCACCUGGACGGAUACUGACGCUGAGACGCGAAAGCGUGGGGAGCAAACAGGAUUAGAUACCUUGGUAGUCCACGCCCUAAACGAUGUCGACUGGUUGUUGGGGGUUUGACGACUCUCAGUAACGAAGCUAACG
rnacentral:rRNA from 1 species